AUGGAGAAGUUGAAAAAGGACUUCAAGGCUAACAUGACAAGCUGGGAGUCUGACAAAGUAGCUCUGUUGAAAAGAGAGGAAGAAGCAGAGGCGACCCUUAAGCCGGUGGCUGAAGAGCUUUCCAGUUUAAAACAUCAAAUUAAGACCAUGACCGCCGUUGUCUUUGGCUCCAAAAUUGCCCAUCUUGGUGCAGACAUGCGCAUGAAGCUGAAAGCCGCCUAUACUCUUAUUGAGAAAUUGUAUACUGGCGCGCAACGAGCUAUCUCUGCAGCUUCUCAUAAAAAACAACCACCAACUCUUAUCAAAGACACACUGGAAAAGCUGUCUGUAUUGCCCCAAAGAGUGGAGGAUCUGAAGCUAUCAGCUGCUAGAGCCAGUGCCUUCACUGCGUAA
rnacentral:rRNA from 1 species